AUGAACGCUGGCGGUAUGCCUAACACAUGCAAGUCGAACGGGACUCUUCGGAGUCUAGUGGCGGACGGGUGAGUAACGCGUGAGAAUCUGCCUAGAGGAUGGGGACAACCACGGGAAACUGUGGCUAAUACCCAAUGAGCGGAGACGUCAAAGAUUUAUCGCCUCUAGAGGAGCUCGCGUCUGAUUAGCUAGUUGGUGGGGUAAAAGCCUACCAAGGCGACGAUCAGUAGCUGGUCUGAGAGGACAACCAGCCACACUGGGACUGAGACACGGCCCAGACUCCUACGGGAGGCAGCAGUGGGGAAUUUUCCGCAAUGGGCGAAAGCCUGACGGAGCAAUACCGCGUGAGGGAGGAAGGCUCUUGGGUCGUAAACCUCUUUUCUCAGGGAAGAAGAAAGUGACGGUACCUGAGGAAUCAGCCUCGGCUAACUCCGUGCCAGCAGCCGCGGUAAUACGGAGGAGGCAAGCGUUAUCCGGAAUUAUUGGGCGUAAAGCGUCCGUAGGUGGCUCUUCAAGUCUGCUGUCAAAGAGCGGGGCUUAACCCUGCAAAGGCAGUGGAAACUGAAAGGCUAGAGAGCCGUAGGGGUAGAGGGAAUUCCCGGUGUAGCGGUGAAAUGCGUAGAGAUCGGGAAGAACAUCGGUGGCGAAAGCGCUCUACUGGACGGUAUCUGACACUGAGGGACGAAAGCUAGGGGAGCGAAUGGGAUUAGAUACCCCAGUAGUCCUAGCCGUAAACGAUGGAUACUAGGCGUGGCUUGUAUCGACCCGAGCCGUGCCGGAGCUAACGCGUUAAGUACCCCCGCCUGGGGAGUACGCACGCAAGUGUGAAACUCAAAGGAAUUGACGGGGGCCCGCACAAGCGGUGGAGUAUGUGGUUUAAUUCGAUGCAACGCGAAGAACCUUACCAGAGCUUGACAUGUCCGGAAUCCCUUGGAAACGAGGGAGUGCCUUCGGGAACCGGAACACAGGUGGUGCAUGGCUGUCGUCAGCUCGUGUCGUGAGAUGUUGGGUUAAGUCCCGCAACGAGCGCAACCCUCGUCUUUAGUUGCCAGCAUUAAGUUGGGCACUCUAGAGAGACUGCCGGUGACAAACCGGAGGAAGGUGGGGAUGACGUCAAGUCAGCAUGCCCCUUACGUCCUGGGCUACACACGUACUACAAUGCUACGGACAAAGGGCAGCAAGCCAGCGAUGGCAAGCCAAUCCCAUAAACCGUGGCUCAGUUCAGAUCGCAGGCUGCAACUCGCCUGCGUGAAGGAGGAAUCGCUAGUAAUCGCCGGUCAGCAUACGGCGGUGAAUCCGUUCCCGGGCCUUGUACACACCGCCCGUCACACCAUGGGAGCCGGUUUGGCCCGAAGUCGUUACCCUAACCUGAAAAGGAGGGGGAUGCCGAAGGCCGGGCUGGUGACUGGGGUG
rnacentral:rRNA from 1 species